AGAAGUGGGAGAAGGAACAGGAGGAGAAGCGCCGUCGUCUGGAGGAGGGGCUGGAUGUGGGUGGUGACAGUACACCCUUCAACUCUACGCCCGCCUCCCCCGCCCACAGUGAGGUGUCCGUCACUACCAGUCUUCUGCUGGAUGAUGCCAGUAAUGACGGCUCCCUCAUAGUGGACGUGGAGUCUCCAGCACCGCCUACGCCAGUGUCGGCCUCAAGCAGCCUGGGUGGUGUGGGCGUCCCCAGCGUUACCUCCGCCCCCAUCAGAGGGAGAAAGCGUGGGCGUCCUAAGGGCUCGGGUCUCCGGGGGCGGCUGUCCAGGGCCACCGAAGCCGCUGUGUGUUGCCUCUGCCGCAGCCUGCCAGCCGCUUCGUCAGCCGCAGCCAUGGUCUCGUCCGCUGGCUC